CUGACCGUAAACGAUGCCAACUAGCGAUCCGUCGGUGGCUUCUUGGCCCUGAUGGGGAGCUUCCCGGAAACGAAAGUCUUCCGGUUCCGGGGGAAGUAUGGUUGCAAAGCUGAAACUUAAAGGAAUUGACGGAAGGGCACCACCAGGAGUGGAGCCUGCGGCUUAAUUUGACUCAACACGGGAAAACUCACCCGGCCCGGACACCGUGAGGAUUGACAGAUUGAUAGCUUUUUCAUGAUUCGGUGGAUGGUGGUGCAUGGCCGUUCUUAGUUCGUGGAUCGAUUUGUCUGGUUUAUUCCGAUAACGAGCGAGACUCCAGCCUACUAACUAGUGCGAGCAUUGCCUUUGUGCUUGCCACUUCUUAGAGGGAUUGGCUGCGUCUAGCGGCACGAAACGGAGCAAUAACAGGUCUGUGAUGCCCUUAGAUGUCCGGGGCUGCACGCGCGCUACACUGGCAAAGGCAGCGUGCUUGUCCGUCUCCGAAAGGAGUCGGUAAACCCUUGAAAAUUUGCCGUGAUUGGGAUCGGAAAUUGCAAUUAUUUUCCGUGAACGAGGAAUUCCUAGUAAGUGCGAGUCAUCAGCUCGCGUUG
rnacentral:rRNA from 1 species